rnacentral:tRNA from 1 species
GGAAUGUGGUUCAGUGGUAAAGCACGUGCUUACCAUGCACAAAGCCCUGGGUUCAAUCCCCAGUAACCU